CGAGUCUGUUACAUGACCUGUCAGUUUUCUACUUAAACCCGAAGAAUUUAAUCCAUUUGGCGUGACUCUACAGCCACAGAUCUUCCCUGAGCUUAAACUCCCAGAAACUCGAAACAUGUUUACUUAGGUCGACGGUUCUGUACAUUUAAUGGAUUGUAAGAUAAUACAGCAGGCCAGUCAGUGUGUCAGCUGAAGACGUCUCUCAAGUGUCCCAUGGCUCCUCCACUUGCCCCGUCUCACCCACAGGCCUGAGAACAGCUGUUCAUGAUGAUACUUGAGCUAUGGCAGAAGCCCCACUGUUAGAGCACGGCUCCCUUUCUCUGGUUCAGCCAGGACUGAGAUUAUUGCAGUCGACUGCAACGGCUAACCAUGCUAUCAUUCCCCUGCAGCUGCUGCCUAUCUGUCCAAACCAACCCAACCGACGGCAGCCCCACGGGGAGGAACAGUCACUCCAUUUUCAACUCCUGUUUCUUUUUUCUCCAACCUCUGGAAUUCACUUUAUACAGCAGGGAGAAAUAAAUAAAAGAUGAUCAAGCAAAAUGGUUUACCAUAUUAAAUACUUGCUCUGAAAGGUGCUAACAAACCAAUCAGCUCUAAGCUUGAAAAAUGAAAACUUGUCAGUUGAAGAAGAUAUAUGUAAUAAUAACAAUGUUUCUUGAGCAUUUAUUAUUUAUUUUUUUAUCAAAUAAAUGCAGCCUUG